CCCCCCGAAUUGUAGUCUAGAAAGGCGCCAUCGGCCGCGUCCGCCGCUCAAAUCCCUUGGAACGGGGUAUCGGAGAAGGUGAGAAUCCUGUGCCGUGGCGGUUCGCGGUCGCACGAUGCGCCCUUGCAGAGUCGGGUUGCUUGGGAUUGCAGCUUGAAUUGGGUGGUAAAUUCCAUCUAAAGCUAAAUACUGGCGAGAGACCGAUAGCGAACAAGUACCGUGAGGGAAAGAUGCAAAGAACUUUGAAAAGAGAGUUAAAGAGUGCUUGAAAUCGGCAAGAGGAAACCCGUUUACGCCCGGCUUCGCGCCGUCGACUCAGCCGCGCUUCUUGCGCGGUGCACUUUGUCGGCGCGGGUCAGCCGCGGCUCGGCGGGGGCAACACGGCUGUUUGCAGGGCUUCGGCGUAGCGAAUGGUGAUGGCCCGCGCUGGGCUCCGGCUGAUGCGCACGGGCGCAACCGACCCGUCUAGAAACACGGACCAAGGAGUCUGACGCGUGUGCGAGUACCCGGGUGGCAAGCCCGCGUGCGCAAUGAAAGUGAAGGGCGUGCCCCGCCAACCGACCUUGAUCUUCUGUGAAGGGUUUGAGUGGAGCACACGAGUCGGGACCCGAAAGAUGGUGAACUAUGCCUGAGGAGGGUGAAGCCAGAGGAAACUCUGGUGGAGGCUCGUAGCGAUACUGACGUGCAAAUCGUUCGUCGAACUUGGGUAUAGGGGCGAAAGACUAAUCGAACCAUCUAGUAGCUGGUUCCCUCCGAAGUUUCCCUCAGGAUAGCUUGAACGCCGACGGUUUUGU
rnacentral:rRNA from 1 species